rnacentral:lncRNA from 1 species
GCCCCCAACCCCGGGCUCGACCCAACUUUCCAGGACAGUAGACACGGCCGGUGCCCCCGCGACAGCAGCCCGGCCCAGUUCUCUCCGCCAGAGAUCUCCCGCUUACCGUCUGGGGCGAAGGCGACAGGCUGAGGCUCAGUUUUUUCACUCGCCACAUCUUCAACCAGAAGGCAGGCCUAUCACGUCUCAGACCAAGUCGAGGACGCCAUGUUCACCCGCCGUCUGUGUUUGAACCUGCUCUGCGCUUCCUGGUUGGCUGCUUCAGGCGCGCGCGUACGCUCGGGGGUAGAGCCCGGGGGGCGGGGCCCGCGUUGACCACGCCCCCGGCCCUGCCUGCCCCUCCGUUGUCGAGCGUUUUCCGCUGACGGAGCCCUCACCUCAGACACCGGCGGUAGGGCUGGAUGCGGGCCCGGCCCAGGACCGGUCUUCUGUCCUCACACCGGGGAGGACCACGCAGGUAGCUGGAGAGUCCAGGAGUCCAUCCCUCCUGCUUCCAGCGGACCUCCUCACAUCCAUGGUGUUCAUAUCCAAGUUGUCUCCGUGGAUGGAGAAGAGGAAUCCUCUCCCUAGGUCUCCCUCAGUCCUCUCCAGCCGCAGCCUUGACGGGAAAGAGCCGGCCAGGGAGUCUAGAAGCCGAAGCGGUGCCGAGCGGCUUCCCUAGGCUUGGUGGGCCCGCGUCCGGGACGGCCCGGGCCGUGGUUCUCGACCUGGGCUGUAAUGUCUCCAGAGUUUCUGGGCUUUUCCUGGGACUUACUCAGGCCGGCUACCAGUUUACUGGGCUAACCGCCUACAUGUAUUGAACAUUGAGUGUGUGCCUGGCGCUAUGCCGAAUGCCGUGUAGUAGCUCAUUUAAUGCGCAUAAGGACCUACGUAGUGAGAAAUACUAUAAAUAUCCCCAUUUGUGACAGGAAGGAGCUGAGUCAGAGAGACCGUGUGUAAUUUGCUCAGCGUCACACAGAUAGUAAACGGCAGAGCCGCUCUUCCUCCCUGUCCCGCCAGCUCCUGCCUUCUGCUGUCUUGGAUCUCCUAUGCACGGGAAACCUGUUGAAGACGAGGUCUCACUGUGUUGCUCAAGCUGUCCUGGAAGUCCUGGACUGAAGUGAUCCUCCCACCUCGGCCUCCCAAGGUGCUGGGAUUACAGGUGUGAGCCACCAUGCCCAGCCAAAACCUUGAUUUUUCUGUCACCCCCUCCACUGCACCCUGAGAAUCACUGCUGUAAGUAGACUACUGAAGAGAGUAUGUUGAAAAUGUUCUCAUUUGGUAAGAAGUAAUUCCAACUACAUUCACGUGAUUAUGGUCUCUAAACUAAUAUGACCUAGGAGAGAGACCCUAGUGACAUUAUGUUAACCAUUUCUUAAGGACCUUAAACCCUAGUGACAUUAUGUUAACCAUUUCUUAAGGACCUUAAACCCUAGUGACAUUAUGUUAACCAUUUCUUAAGGACCUUCGCCCACUGUGCUGCUGUGGCCACAAAAGCCAUAUAAUGUUGGGUGACCUGAAUAUCAAUUAACACAGUAUUAUAAAAUCCUCUGCAUCUGCACUUUGAAAAAGCAUCACAGGGCUGGGAGCAGUGGCUCACGCCUGUAAUCCCAGCACUUUGGAAGGCCAAGACGAGUGAAUUACCUGAGGUCAGGAGUUUGAGACCGGCCUGGUCAACAUGGUGACACCCCGUGUCUACUAAAAAUACAAAAAUUAGCUGGGCAUGGUGGCAGGCGCCUGUAAUCCCAGCUACUUGGGAGGCUGAGACAGGAGAAUCACUUGAACCCGG